UACAGAGGGUGCUAGCGUUGUUCGGAAUCAUUGGGCGUAAAGGGCGUGUAGGCGGUUUGUUAAGUCAUGUGUGAAAUCCCUCGGCUCAACCGGGGAACGACGCAUGAAACUGGCAAGCUAGAGUACCAAAGAGGGGGGUGGAAUUCCCGGUGUAGCGGUGAAAUGCGUAGAUAUCGGGAGGAACAUCAGUGGCGAAGGCGGCCUUCUGGUCCAGUACUGACACUCAAGUGCGAAAGCGUGGGGAGCAAACAGG
rnacentral:rRNA from 1 species